rnacentral:rRNA from 1 species
UACGUAGGGUGCAAGCGUUAAUCGGAAUUACUGGGCGUAAAGCGCGUGUAGGCGGCAUAGCAAGUCGGGUGUGAAAGCCCUCAGCUCAACUGAGGAAGUGCGCCCGAAACUGCUGUGCUUGAGUGCCGGAGAGGAUGGCGGAAUUCCCCAAGUAGAGGUGAAAUUCGUAGAUAUGGGGAGGAACACCGGUGGCGAAGGCGGCCAUCUGGACGGUAACUGACGCUGAGACGCGAAAGCGUGGGGAGCAAACAGG